CUUUCACUUUCACCUUUACCUGAAACACUCCUUGGGUGGCUGACCUGGAUGGCCUCUGCUGCUGCCACUGCUGCCACCUGUGCUGCUGCUGCCCCCUCAAGAGAGGGGAGAGAUUCCCUACUGCACCACCUUGCACUGCACUGCACCGCACCUGCACUGGAUUACUUCCCUAAUUGGCUGUUUUCUUCUGCACUCCCCCAUAGUUGCCUCAAUGCAUCUGAUCCUUUGCCUUGUUUCCUGCCUGCUGCCUUGCUGCUAGGUGCCUGAAUGGAGACCUGACGGGCUCCUGGACUGAGCUUUAACAAAUGGAGCCCCUCCAGCACUCCAGCCAUCUUUUACACCUGCCUCAGAAGUCUCCUCUGUGUGUUUUGUCCUUGUGUGGCCAUGAUCCAGCUGGCAGGGCGAGAAUAUCUGGAGGCUGAGGGGUGCUUUGUGAUUCCUUUUCAGGGGCUCUUGGUGUCUUUUGAAAGGAAAGAUGAAGAAAACAUCAUAACCAUUUUGAAAAAGAAAAUAGAUCCAUGCUUGUGUGCAACGUUGCUAUCAACUUAAAUUAUACAUGUAUAUAACACAAAUCUACGAAAAGAUGUAGUUGCAGCUUCAGUUCUAUUUAGUUACUUUUGCUUAUAUGUAGGGUCAUUUUUUUAAAUAAAGACAUCUCCUAAGUCUAACUCUUAUCUUUGGGUUACAUGUAACUGUAGCUCAAAUGUCAUUUCUAAAUAAACAGGUUUAAAAAGUUGAUACUAUUUGAAUUAAACAGAAAGUAAUGUAAAUAUUAAUAGAAACACCCAUCAGUGUGCAGACUUACAUAUUAUACAGUCUCAGGCGAUGCACUAUUUAACUGAUGCCAUUUCUUCAGCUUUAAAGAACCAGAGGUAAUUAUAUUGCUCUAUCUACUACCCAAAAGAGUUGUAAGAAAUUAUUAAUGUCAAUUUUGACCACAUAAAGUACCAUAAUACCCAGUAUUUGAAGUGUCUAUAGGUUAUAGGGGAGAGGAGAGCUUAGGGUUCUGCACUUGCUUUUUCUUGUUCAUGAAAAUGC